AUUGAACGCUGGCGGCAUGCCUUACACAUGCAAGUCGAACGGCAGCACGGGAGCAAUCCUGGUGGCGAGUGGCGAACGGGUGAGUAAUACAUCGGAACGUGCCCAGUAGUGGGGGAUAACCCGGCGAAAGCCGGACUAAUACCGCAUACGACCUACGGGUGAAAGCAGGGGAUCGCAAGACCUUGCGCUAUCGGAGCGGCCGAUGUCAGAUUAGCUUGUUGGCGGGGUAAAAGCCCACCAAGGCGACGAUCUGUAGCUGGUCUGAGAGGACGAUCAGCCACACUGGGACUGAGACACGGCCCAGACUCCUACGGGAGGCAGCAGUGGGGAAUUUUGGACAAUGGGCGCAAGCCUGAUCCAGCCAUGCCGCGUGCGGGAAGAAGGCCU
rnacentral:rRNA from 1 species